rnacentral:sRNA from 1 species
CCCUAGCCCUGAUAGAAGCGGCAUCCUUUUGUGCAACGCAGUGAAACAAAAGAUAGAGCGGAUAGCAGGAAAAAGC